rnacentral:rRNA from 1 species
AUUGAACGCUGGCGGAAUGCUUUACACAUGCAAGUCGAACGGCAGCACGGACUUCGGUCUGGUGGCGAGUGGCGAACGGGUGAGUAAUAUAUCGGAACGUGCCCAGUCGUGGGGGAUAACGUAGUGAAAAUUACGCUAAUACCGCAUACGAUCUAUGGAUGAAAGCGGGGGAUCGCAAGACCUCGCGCGAUUGGAGCGGCCGAUAUCAGAUUAGGUAGUUGGUGAGGUAAAGGCUCACCAAGCCGACGAUCUGUAGCUGGUCUGAGAGGACGACCAGCCACACUGGGACUGAGACACGGGCAAGACUCCUACGGGAGGCAGCAGUGGGGAAUUUUGGACAAUGGACGAAAGUCUGAUCCAGCCAUUCCGCGUGCAGGACGAAGGCCUUCGGGUUGUAAACUGCUUUUGUACAGAACGAAAAGGUCUCUAUUAAUACUAGGGGCUCAUGACGGUACUGUAAGAAUAAGCACCGGCUAACUACGUGCCAGCAGCCGCCGUAA